rnacentral:tRNA from 1 species
UACCCUACAGCUCAAUGGUAGAGCGUCAGUCUUUAAAACUCAAGGGCUGUAGUUCAAUUUUACAUAAGGGAC